GCGCGUCGCCCCGCCGCCACAGGCGCCCGGCGCCCGGCGCCGCCGCCUCCCCGCGCCGCCCGCGGUUUUUUCCCGUGAAUUUUUCUCCGCGGAUUUUUCGCAUUCGCCGGGACGCGGGGGCCACGACACCGCCCUCAGCCUUCUCGCUCCUCCUCGCCUCUUCCUCCUCCGCCGCUCGCUCGCUCGCUCGCCCCGCGGGAGUUUUGGCCGCAGAUGUCGCCGCCGCUGGCCACCACCGCUACCACCGCCGCCACCACCUUCAUCGUUGUCCAGUGAACCGAUGGGAAUGCCGCUGGACCGUGCAGCGACCUUAUCAUCUGCCCACCCUGUAGGGCUGACUCAUUGCGGCAGAGCGAGAUGGCUUCCUGCAGAUGCGUACCUGGGCAGUCGAAGACGUCGGUUAACGCUCGAGAUGACUCGGGGACCACCGCCCCUGCCCCCCCCCCCUCGUCUCCCCUGCACCGUAGCAGCACGUAAAUAUUGGAGUGUGAACUCUGCGAUUCCAGUAUUUCGUGCUGCUGCUGUGCGGUGGGGGGCAUGCAACGACAGCGAUGACGAUGAUGAUGAUGAUGAGGAGGAGGAGGAAGUGGUGGGAAGAGGAGGGAGUUGGUCGAUGCCGCAGGCGCUGUGAAGUGCCCCCCCUCCUUACGAAAUGACGUCCACGUUUGUCCGGCAAUAAAAUUGAUGACCGGAGCUGCGCCUACGCUUUUUUUCUUUCGCCUUCAAUAAAUGUCCAUUUAUGCAUUGCGUUCUCGUUUUUUUUAAAAAUAAUUACGAGUGGUUUUUAAUAACACCCACAGCACCUGUGGUCAAAUCACACCUGGGAUAGUGAUAGGUUUUUACCCUUUCAACUGGUACAAAAACUGAAUAUUAUACAAGGCAUCAUGUUUGCAAUAACCACAACACAAGCAGUCAAAUUCCAACACCAAUGGAGACUAGGCUCAAGAAAAGCUGUCUCGGGUGUGGACCAAUCAACUUCAAGGACAGUGCAUAUCAUUAUCAGAGUUGUUUCUUUUUGUUUGCAUUUUGACUGCUUGUGUUGUGGUUAUUGCAAACAUGAUGCCUUGUAUAAAGGUGUCAGUUUUUGUACCAGUUGAAAGGGUAAAAACCUAUCACUAUUUUGUCACUGGUAAAGGAGGUCUCAUAGUGUACACACCUGUGAUGUUCCAGAUCGCAUCGGAUCUUGGGCAGCUAAGCAGGGUUGAGCCGAGGUGGUUCACGUGGAUGGGUUACUGCUGCUAUGCGCAACAUUACGCGUUGUCACAGUCCGAACCGUUGUAUUAUUUGCUCCGUGAUUAAACUGCUUUAAUAACGUUGAUGAAUUUACUGACGUUUACAUCCACCGCAGAGCGACAGACGGAGCGGCCUGAUGGAUCUGUGUCCUGUCAUUUAUGCCACUGCGAAAUAAACGACGAAUUUAUUUGUGGACGCCCACAAUAAGCAGCCGUGUGGAGCUCGCCACGCGAGGUUUGCUCUUCUCGCGAAGAGGUAGAUGCGACAACAUCUUCCAUGGUGCUACAUUUCAAAUGUGGCUAGCUGCCAUGAUGACAAUGGCAAUUACUCUGAGCUUGUGUGUGUGGGGGGGAGAGGCAAUCCCAGGUAACUGCUGCGAUUCUCCCAGAUGUAUGAUCAUGAUGAGGGCUCGUAUAUUUACUUUAAAAAAAUAAAAGUUUUUUCCUUGCGGAAUUUCGGAGCCAACUACUAAAAUGACUGCCGGAUUGUAUUAUCGGUUUUGGUCUCAGUGUCGUUCUAUGACUACACGCAUAAUAUGAAGCUGGUGUCUACCCACAAGUGUGCCCACGUGGCUAUGAACAAGAUGUACAUCAACAGGUACCACUAUAAACUUGGUGUCAGGGACUCGCAAGCAUUUAAGACCCCACACGCUGCACCAGGUUUACAACUAAUCCAGCUACGUUGCCUGGUCAUGGAUUCAAUCACGUCCCUGGCGUCUGUACAUUUUGGAGGUUUGCAAGUUCUCGCUGUGGUUGCAUUCACUUUCCUGCCUGGUCCUCCGGCUUACCCCACCCCUCUCCACAUUUAGAAACGCGUUUAGAGUGCACAUGGUCCUCGAUAUACGUCGCUUCGUGCUCGCGUCGUUUUCAACGAGUCGACAACGUCGCGCGUGGGGUGCGUCGCUGUUAGCCCAGCGACCCGGACUUAGAUGUCCACUCGCGGCCAACACCGGUGACGAUUGUUGUUUGGGACUUGGCUCGGCUGAACUCUGUUGUUUGGUGGGGGGACGAGGACGUCCUGUGGACAACUGGGAUUGUUCGCAUGCGCACUCAUCUCUGUGCCAUCCGUGUGCUCGCCUACACGUAGCGAGUGGCCGUUGUUGAUCUGCGCCGAAUUGAGCGCUGAACACCGUCGCAACCUUUAAGCAUAACUCGUCCACUCAAGGUAAGAUGAAAAUUUUAGGUUACGGUCAAAU